AUUGAACGCUGGCGGCAGGCUUAACACAUGCAAGUCGAGCGGGGGAGGUCGCUUCGGUAACUGACCUAGCGGCGGACGGGUGAGUAAUGCUUAGGAAUCUGCCUAUUAGUGGGGGACAUCAUUCCGAAAGGGAUGCUAAUACCGCAUACGCCCUACGGGGGAAAGCAGGGGAUCUUCGGACCUUGCGCUAAUAGAUGAGCCUAAGUCGGAUUAGCUAGUUGGUGGGGUAAAGGCCUACCAAGGCGACGAUCUGUAGCGGGUCUGAGAGGAUGAUCCGCCACACUGGGACUGAGACCAGGAAAAGACUCCUAAGGGAGGCAGCAGUGGGGAAUGUUGGAUAAUGGUCGGAAGCAUGACAGAGCCAUGACGAGUGUGUGAAGUAGUACAUUUGGUUGUAAACAACUUUAAGAGAGGAGGAGGCUAGGAAGGUUAAUACCCUGGAGGAGUGGAAGGGAAGCGCAGAAUAAGCAACGGCUAACUCUGUUCCAGCCGCCGCGGUAACAC
rnacentral:rRNA from 1 species